rnacentral:rRNA from 1 species
GAUUAAGUUAUUAAGGGCGCACGGUGGAUGCCUUGGCACUAGAAGCCGAUGAAGGACGUUACUAACGACGAUAUGCUUUGGGUAGCUGUAAGUAAGCGUUGAUCCAGAGAUUUCCGAAUGGGGGAACCCAGCAUGAGUUAUGUCAUGUUAUCGACAUGUGAAUUUAUCGA